rnacentral:rRNA from 1 species
UACGUAGGGUGCAAGCGUUGUCCGGAAUUAUUGGGCGUAAAGAGCUCGUAGGCGGUUUGUUGCGUCGGCUGUGAAAUCCCGAGGCUCAACCUCGGGUCUGCAGUCGAUACGAGCAAACUAGAGUGUUGCAGGGGAGACUGGAAUUCCUGGUGUAGCGGUGAAAUGCGUAGAUAUCGGAAGGAACACCAAUGGCGAAGGCAGCCGCCUGGGCCUGAUCUGACACUGAGACACGAAAGCGUGGGGAUCAAACAGG